AAUCUAGAGAUGACUCUAAUUGUAUAGGAGGAUGUGCAUAGGUUAUAUGCAAAUGCCAGGCCGUCUUGUAUCAGGCACUUGGACAUCCGCGGAUUUUGGUAUCUGUAGGGGAUCCUGGAACCAGUCCCCCAUGGAUACCAAGGGACGACUGUAAACGCUCACUCAGGAAGCUUUCUCCUUGGAGGAAGGGCCCAGUUCAGGAUGCACAGAGACAUGCUCCCUGGAGCAUCGUCUGUUCGUCUGUCGAUUCACCCAUCAGCCCAUCUCCAGCGCUGUCCCAAUUACAGCCCUAGCAAGUGGAGACAACAAGAAGGCCUAGCUCACGUUUCCAGCUUUGAGGCCUUAGAAAGUUGCUGCCAGGAUGGGGGAGUGGAUCAACUUCCUCCAGGAUCCAGAGAGCAUCCCAGCAGCCUCAGGGUCAGAAAAGGAGCCCAGCCUCUCCAGGAGCCAGACAGGCUCACAGCAGGGGGAUGGGGGGAUGUGGAUUGCUUGAGCCUAAUGACGGGAAGAGAAGAAGGCACUGCAGAGAGGGGUCUCAUGCUGUCUUGCAGCUCUCCCGGGGCUGAAGCUGAGUGCAGAUCAGGUGGCCCUGGUCUACAGCACGCUGGGGCUCUGCCUGUGUGCCGUCCUCUGCUGCUUCCUGGUGGCGGUGGCCUGCUUCCUCAAGAAGAGGGGGGAUCCCUGCUCCUGCCAGCCCCGCUCAAGGCCCCGUCAAAGUCCGGCCAAGUCUUCCCAGGGUGAGUGCAUGAAACUGGGGUCCUCGCCCUUCUCGCUGCUUGGGUGACAAGCCUCGGGCCAUCCCUCGGUCCUGUCACUGCCCCUGCUUCUAGGUGGAGAGGCCCAGGGCUCAUCCCUGUUACUUGCUAUACCUUGAUAAAAUCAGGUUAAGACAUCCUGGCAGACAGAUAACUGGGAGAGUGGCACCCGGGAAGGGUGGGUGUGGGGUGCCGGUCUUCAGGUUUGCCUGGGCCCAGGAUUCUCCAGAUGCAGAGCCUUCAGGGCUAAGCCCAGGAGGAGGUGUCCCCUUGGGGGGCGUGGCAGGCUCGGUGCUGGACAGAAGUGAGAGCCAAGAAUUGCCUGCCCACCCCUGCCCCGGCACAGGUUCUGGUCAGCAACUGGCGGACACUGACACCUGUCUGGGGGCGUUCUACGCUGGUGAUUGCCCUUAGCUCCUGGGUCGGGGGAGAGUGCGGCUGCCCACACCGUCACCCCUACCCUAGUGCAGGGCCAGGCCUGGCCCACGCCCUCCACUCUCGCCUCUGCAGAUCACGCGAUGGAAGCCGGCAGCCCUGUGAGCACAUCCCCCGAGCCAGUGGAGACCUGCAGCUUCUGCUUCCCUGAGUGCAGGGCGCCCACGCAGGAGAGCGCAGUCACGCCUGGGACCCCCGACCCCACUUGUGCUGGAAGGUGGGGGUGCCACACCAGGACCACAGUCCUGCAGCCUUGCCCACACAUCCCAGACAGUGGCCUUGGCAUUGUGUGUGUGCCUGCCCAGGAGGGGGGCCCAGGUGCAUAAAUGGGGGUCAGGGAGGGAAAGGAGGAGGGAGAGAGAUGGAGAGGAGGGGAGAGAGAAAGAGAGGUGGGGAGAGGGGAGAGAGAUAUGAGGAGAGAGAGACAGAGGAGGCAGAGAGGGAGAGAAACAGAGGAGACAGAGAGGGAGAGAGAGACAGAGGGAGAGAGAGACAGAGGGGAAGAGAGGCAGAGAGGGAAAGAGGCAGAGAAGGAAAGAGACAGGCAGAGAAGGAGAGAGGCAGAGAGGGAGAGAGGCAGAGAGGGAGAGAGGCAGAGAGACAGAGAGGGAGAGAGGGACAGAGAGAGAUAGAGCAGGAGGUCGGGGCACUCUGAGUCCCAGUUCCCAGUGCAGCUGUAGGUCGUCAUCACCUAACCACACGUGCAAUAAAGUCCUCGUGCCUGCUGCUCACAGCCCCCGAGAGCCCCUCCUCCUGGAGAAUAAAACCUUUGGCAGCUGCCCUUCCUC
rnacentral:lncRNA from 1 species